GACGAACGCUGGCGGCGUGCUUAACACAUGCAAGUCGAACGGUAACAGGCCGCAAGGUGCUGACGAGUGGCGAACGGGUGAGUAAUGCAUCGGAACGUGCCCAGUCGUGGGGGAUAACGCAGCGAAAGCUGCGCUAAUACCGCAUAUGAUCUAUGGAUGAAAGCGGGGGACCGUAAGGCCUCGCGCGAUUGGAGCGGCCGAUGUCAGAUUAGGUAGUUGGUGGGGUAAAGGCUCACCAAGCCAACGAUCUGUAGCUGGUCUGAGAGGACGACCAGCCACACUGGGACUGAGACACGGCCCAGACUCCUACGGGAGGCAGCAGUGGGGAAUUUUGGACAAUGGGCGCAAGCCUGAUCCAGCAAUGCCGCGUGCAGGAAGAAGGCCUUCGGGUUGUAAACUGCUUUUGUACGGAACGAAACGGUCCUGGUUAAUACCUGGGGCUAAUGACGGUACCGUAAGAAUAAGCCCCGGCUAACUUCGUGCCAGCAGCCGCCGUAACAC
rnacentral:rRNA from 1 species